CGAAGAUGACUAGNUAACUGAAAUCUAUAUGUUUUAUAAUAAUGAACUCUUUUUAUGUAUUUAAAAAGGGAUAAAUUAAUUAAACAAAAUAAAGAUAAGGUAAGGGAAAAUAAUGAUAUUACCUUACUAUAGUGUCGUCAAAAUUGGGUGCCAGAAGACUCGGUAAGGCCAAAAACGCAAACGUUAGNCAUCUUUAUCAGGCGUAANGGGUUUGUAGGCGGCCUUAAUAGCCUUUNUAAAUUUUNAUUUUUAUAAAAGAAAACAAACGCUAACUAAGUGCUAGAGUCAAGUAGAGGUUAUAUUAUAGAAUGCUUAAAGUAGGGCCAACAUCCGCAAAGAUUGAGCAGAAUAUUAAGGGCGNAGGCUUUUUCUCCACUACGGAUAAUAUAAUAAACUGACGCUGAGAAACGAAGGGGAGGAUAGGAAAUAGGAUUAGAUACCCAGAAUACCCCUCUCUGUCAACGAUGAAUGGUAAUUUGCUAGUAAGUUUUUUAACGACUAUUAGUUUUAAUGUUAACACGUUAACCAUUCCGCCUUGUGAGUACGAUUGNNAAAUUGAAAANNAAAAAAUUAGUCGG
rnacentral:rRNA from 2 species